rnacentral:tRNA from 1 species
GGUUGUGGUUCAGUGGUAGAGUGUUUGCCUAGUAUGCAUGAAGCACUGGGUUCAAUCCUCAGCACCA